rnacentral:rRNA from 3 species
UACGUAGGUGACAAGCGUUGUCCGGAUUUAUUGGGCGUAAAGGGAGCGCAGGCGGUCUGUUUAGUCUAAUGUGAAAGCCCACGGCUUAACCGUGGAACGGCAUUGGAAACUGACAGACUUGAAUGUAGAAGAGGAAAAUGGAAUUCCAAGUGUAGCGGUGGAAUGCGUAGAUAUUUGGAGGAACACCAGUGGCGAAGGCGAUUUUCUGGUCUAACAUUGACGCUGAGGCUCGAAAGCGUGGGGAGCGAAC